rnacentral:snoRNA from 1 species
UGGAAGACUGAUACAUGAGAUUCAGUUAACUAGGCUUCUCAUCACUAAUUCUUCCUAUAAAACAUUUUGCCUUCUGAUGACUGUGACUUGUGAAGAUUUAAUUUACAGACAGAUACGGGGCAUACAAGA